UACGUAGGGGACAAGCGUUGUCCGGAAUUAUUGGGCGUAAAGAGCUCGUAGGCGGCUUGUCGCGUCGACUGUGAAAUCCCGCGGCUCAACUGCGGGUCUGCAGUCGAUACGGGCAGGCUAGAGUUCGGUAGGGGAGACUGGAAUUCCUGGUGUAGCGGUGAAAUGCGCAGAUAUCAGGAGGAACACCGGUGGCGAAGGCGGGUCUCUGGGCCGUAACUGACGCUGAGGAGCGAAAGCGUGGGGAGCGAACAGG
rnacentral:rRNA from 1 species